GCGCCCCCACAAGAAACACUGCUCAGAGGGGCGCCCAGGUCAUAACCUACUGCUGUCCGGACAAAGCAGGCCUCUCCUGGCUCCCUCUGCACCCCACACCCAGGGAGUGGGAAGCGUGACCCCCAAGGAGCCACUGCCGCCCACACAGUCAACAGUUUGCCAAAAACCAUCCGUGAAGCAUGGCAAAUUGUCCACCUGUGUGGGACGCUGACUGGUCCAGCCAGCCAGCAGAGCAGUGCUUGGCAGAAGGGCCCCACGGUGACGACAGCGGGGGGUGAGCAGCUGGGGCCAGGAGGGCUGGGCUUCAGGCUGGAUGGUGGGGCACGGUGGCAAACGUUCAUGCUCAGACCGGGGGCUCCACUCUCGCGGGGCGAGCUGCUGGAAAUUCAAGUCCGGUCUGCCCUGACAGCCACACCUGCGCACCGAAGCGAGAACAGCUCUGCCACUGGGCCCUGGUGCCCACAAGGUGCCAGGCUGGGGGGCACUCACCUUCCCCAACUCAGUGCCCGGCCAGCGGGCUGGCGGCAAGUCCGGUUCCACAGCCAUCGGGGCGGGACCCCAAAUCCCAGCCCCGCACCGCUGGUCAGAGACCAGCAGGCCCGAUCACCCCAAAGCAUGACGAAAGCCCAGAGCUUGUAAUUAACAGGGGGCAGAGAAGGCGGCAGAGGGCCGGGCAGUGACCUGUGCCGAGAGGGUGUGUGCUGCCACCCCAGGGGCCGGGACUCCUGGCCUGAUGCCAAAGCACGGAGACGGGAGGGCGUGCCCGCCGGAGGAUGGGGGCGCGGCUGCAGGCACUCACGGGGCGCAGGCUGGGGUCACGCGUCGGGGCCCCUGGGAAGGAGCACGUGAGCGUGCUGGGCCAUCCUGCUGGCCACACCCGUGCUGAGGGACCCGCCAGGAAGCCUGAGCACACCCAGCUCAGGACACGGGCGAGGACGAGGCUGCGGCCCACCGAGGCCUUGUGGGGACGGCCGGGACAGGCCGGCCAGUGCCAGGGGCCCACGCCCGCCAGGGCACCCCAUCCCCCGACGGCCCCCGGCGGCCACCGCGCCACUGUCCCUCCUCCCUGCCUGAGGCACAAACGGCCCCGAGUCACGAGGACCCACGCUGACCCACGGCCGUGCUCCCAAGACGGCUGGGCUUCUUACUCGAGGGAAAAGCAAAGCUCCGUGAGCCUGGGCAGUGCAGUGUGUGUCCCUGACGGUCAGGACCCCUCGUCCCGGGCGGGGACGGUCAGGACCCCUCGUGUGUGCGUCCCUGAUGGUCAGGACCCCUCGCCGUGUGCCACACCCUGCGGCCCUCGCUGCUCAGCCCGCUCGCCUCCCCCCGCGGUGCAGCCUGAGCCCCUUGCCGCCCCCAUCCCCGCACACGCAGUGACCCGAGGGGACCCCUGCCCCAGAGCCACGUCCGUCUCCCAAAGAAAGAAGCCGGCAGUCCCUCGAGCUGCACUCACCGCUUGCUUUAGAAAACAGGUCUCAUCACCAGAACUAAGUGGAUGCAGGGACCACAACUGCAGAAGCGUCGGGAAGACCCUGGGAAGCCCGGGAUGCUCCCCAGACAGAGGCCCACGUGUGCCCAGCCUCACCCAGAUGGGCAAAGAAAGGGCGCCCCCACAGGCUCAGGAACACACUGGCCACCCUACCCUCCAAACCCAGAGUUACAGAGACCGUCACAGCAACAGCGCCGGCGACGCCUCUCGUCACCUUGACAGCCGGCAGCGCCCCACACCUCAGGCGCACCAGGGAGCGGCCCUUCACCCGCACGCAUCACCGAGGGCAAGACCCCCAGCAUCCCCUGGGGGGUGCCGUCCCGAAGCUCAGAGCCCGUGUCCCCCAGGGUGGGCCGUCCUGCAGCUCAGCCCCCUGAAACUCACUCAGGUGGGAAGGGGCCCCCGCCCCGCAGACGGCCAGGAAGGACGCCCCCGGGCCCCAGUCCACACCGUGUCUCUUCCUUCCCGGCAGGCCAGGCUUUCUGCCCGCCAGAGGGGACCCUAGGCAGCAGGGUUAGCCAGUGCAGGGGGCUGGCCUGGGGGGCAGAGCGAGGGGAAACAGCAGACGGGCCCUGCGGGGUCUGCAGCUGCCAGCACCCCCAGCUGAGCUGCAGGGCUCAGGAGGUGAGGCCUGGAGAUGGCCUGGGAAGACCUGGGUGCGGUCAGCCCAGGGCCACAGGGAGGGCAGGAAGGAAAGGGAAGUGGACGGGUGGGGAGGGGCCACGGAGCUGCCUGCCUUCAGCCAGGGUUGGCGGGGGCGGGGGGACCCUCCGUGGACACUCAGGCACCCUGUAGGGAUUCUCAGCCUGUGUGGUUGGUGGCACAGAGCCACUGGCUGGGCCUGAUCCCACCCUCACAGGCGCCCCGUGGUACCCUGCAAGGGGCGGGG
ensembl:lincRNA